CAAUUUUUCUGAGAGUUUGAUCCUGGCUCAGGAUGAACGCUGGCGGUGUGCCUUAAGCAUGCAAGUCGAGCGAAUUUUGCAGCAAUGUAAGAUUAGCGGCAGACGGGUGAGUAAUGCACAGGAACAUACCUCAAAGUGG
rnacentral:rRNA from 1 species